rnacentral:rRNA from 1 species
AUUGAACGCUGGCGGCAUGCCUUACACAUGCAAGUCGAACGGCAGCACGGACUUCGGUCUGGUGGCGAGUGGCGAACGGGUGAGUAAUGUAUCGGAACGUACCUUUCAGUGGGGGAUAACGUAGCGAAAGUUACGUUAAUACCGCAUAUUCUGUGAGCAGGAAAGCAGGGGAUCGCAAGACCUUGCGCUGAUUGAGCGGCCGAUAUCAGAUUAGCUAGUUGGUGGGGUAAAGGCCUACCAAGGCUACGAUCUGUAGCGGGUCUGAGAGGAUGAUCCGCCACACUGGAACUGAGACACGGUCCAGACUCCUACGGGAGGCAGCAGUGGGGAAUUUUGGACAAUGGGGGCAACCCUGGACCAGCCAUGCCGCGUGAGUGAAGAAGGCCUUCGGGUUGUAAAGCCCUUUCGGCCGGGAAGAAAUCGCAUAGGUUAAUACCCUGUGUGGAUGACGGUACCGGAAUAAGAAGCACCGGCUAACUACGUGCCAGCAGCCGCGGUAAUACGUAGGGUGCGAGCGUUAAUCGGAAUUACUGGGCGUAAAGCGUGCGCAGGCGGUUUCGUAAGACAGAGGUGAAAUCCCCGGGCUCAACCUGGGAACUGCCUUUGUGACUGCGAGGCUAGAGUACGGCAGAGGGGGGUGGAAUUCCACGUGUAGCAGUGAAAUGCGUAGUGAUGUGGAGGAACACCGAUGGCGAAGGCAGCCCCCUGGGCCGAUACUGACGCUCAUGCACGAAAGCGUGGGUAGCAAAC